AUUGAACGCUGGCGGCAGGCCUAACACAUGCAAGUCGAGCGGAUGACGGGAGCUUGCUCCUUGAUUCAGCGGCGGACGGGUGAGUAAUACCUAGGAAUCUGCCUGAUAGUGGGGGACAACGUUUCGAAAGGAACGCUAAUACCGCAUACGUCCUACGGGAGAAAGCAGGGGACCUUCGGGCCUUGCGCUACCAGAUGAGCCUAGGUCGGGUUAGCUAGUUGGUGAGGUAAUGGCUCACCAAGGCGACGAUCCGUAACUGGUCUGAGAGGAUGAUCAGUCACACUGGAACUGAGACACGGUCCAGCCUCCUACGGGAGGCAGCAGUGGGGAAUAUUGGACAAUGGGCGAAAGCCUGAUCCAGCCAUGCCGCGUGUGUGAAGAAGGUCUUCGGAUUGUAAAGCACUUUAAGUUGGGAGGAAGGGCAGUAAGCUAAUACCUUGCUGUUUUGACGUUACCGACAGAAUAAGCACCGGCUAACUCUGUGCCAGCCGCCGCAGUAACAC
rnacentral:rRNA from 1 species